rnacentral:lncRNA from 1 species
GGCGCCAUUUUCGAGUGAUGCCUGAUCUCAUCAAUCUAGCGGGAGAGACGGGAUAACCUGUCCGAGAGUACAGCGCCACUAGGACUCCGCCGAAAAAUCACUUAAAUCUCCAAAAAUUACUUCGAGCAAAGGGCAGGUGGCGGAGCUUGGCCAGUGUUGGCGCAGCCGCCGUCUUCCAGUGACAAGAAACUUAAGGUCGGCGAAAAAUUGAGGACCCGGAGCAGCGGGUGCCUCUGGUCCGACGUACGACCGUGCCAUGCCCUCCGCGGGACCCAGCCGUGUAUGUUGUCGUCUUUGAUGCUAAAGCGUGAGAUGCCCUGGGAAUGUGAGUUUCACCCCGCCGCCUUCCAGUUCUGCGCGCCUGGGUCCCAGCAGGGGUAGCACUGACCGCGUCUGGCUUUUCCAAUUUGGGCAAGAUGGGGCGGGGGCAGGCUUUUAAGGUUUUAGCGGGCUCCUAGGAAAGAUGCCGAACUUUCGCUUUUUGCUCGGGAUUUUUGUCGUUUGGUCUCGUGGUAUCGUCCUUUCUUGCGGGGGGGAGGACGUUGGGGAAGUCUUUAGGGGUGAGAUGAAAGGUGGGGCUUCGACCUUGCGAUUUCCUUCUCUGAGUCUCACUUUUCUUAGAAGACUUUUUCCUUCUCCAGUCUUUGAAACACGUCUCAAGGAAAAAAGGCAAUCUGAGAAACUGUACUGAUGUUUUCCUCCCGAAAAGUCUUUACGCGGACAACUUAACGGUAAUUUUGAAAUCCCCACCUUUUCUAGGAGCUCUCUUGACUUUGAGGCGGAGGGAAGAGGGCUGUUAUUUGUCUUUCCCUUUAGUGAUUUUUUUUUUUCUCGUAGUUUCUACCAAAUUUUACUCAUGAAUAAUUUGAGCCGGUGACGCCUUUAACUUUCUUUAUAGAUAAUGGCCUUUGUAAAAUUCCUUAUGAAAGACGUACUGGAUCUUCAAUCCUUUUCUGCGCUUUAGGCACCCUAGAUUAACCCUUUGCUAGUGUGAUGUUUUGCGUCUGGGGCGCGCGACUCUGGUUUGAGAAUAUGCAGGAGAUGGUUUUUGCAGCAGCUAUUCAAUUGUUCGAAAAAGGAAUAACGCUUCCAGUCACACACCUUUUAGGACUGCCUGCGUAAUGAGUUUUUCCCCCUGAAAUUGAUGUAACAAUUAAUUGAUUUCUUAUUUCUGUAAAGAUCGAGGGACCCGCCCUCACACUCUUUCCCCGAAGAGACUAGGAGAGCGCAAUGUGAUGUUUUUCAAAUUGUAUCUAACGGAGCUCCCAAAACACCGAACUUGUUACCCCCUGAUUGGCUGGAAGGAAGCGGGACUGGGGGGUUUGAAUGUUGAGCACUAGAUUUUAAUUCUUGACUUUCCAAAAAAUUAUACGUUUAGAAAACGGUGGAAAUGGUUAUGAAACAUUAUGACGGGGGGUUUUAAAAAAAAAAAAAGCUAACGUUUAAUAUUUUUUUCUUCCAUAAAGGAUUUUCGAGUGGCUUUGAAAUGUAUAUUAAAAGCAAAACCUAGAGAAGACAAUUUUCACAAAAUUGUAAUUCUGGUAGCUGAAGUUACAAGACUUUUAUAUAUUUGCCCCGUUCUCCGUUGGUUAAAAACCGAGUUUAGAAUUUAGGUUUUUUAUUCCUUUGACAGAAAUUUUUCAUCUUAAACUACAUAUAUUUGUUGCAUGCAGAUUGCAGGGGAAUUGUUUCUUUUACUUGCAUGCAAAGAAACUUUAAUUUUCUUAAUGUUAAGAAUGAAUUUUUCCACAUUUUCCACAAAAAUUGAAUAUUUUUUUAAAACUUUUCACAUCUUAUUUAAAAAAAUAUAUGUAAGCGUUACUAAUUCAGCCAUUUCAGUGACUUAAAACUUUAUUUACAAGAAAUUUAUGUUGUUUAACUUAGACAAUACAACAGGUAAGUAGCACAGGUGCGUGUUAUGAUUUCAUUCAUAAAUUCAUUAUGAAGAAGUAUAUUGCAUACAACAGUGUGGAUGUGUUGUGUUUUAUUUGGUUGGUUUUCAGUUGGUUUUUGUUUAAUGUUGCUUGAGGCAGCCGUCAAUAUAUUUCUAUUUAUUACCAAGCUUGUCAUUCCGUUUAAUUGCAUCUUGAUAAAAGGCGGGUGUGGUUUUCAAAGAAAAUCGGUAAAUUUCACUGAUAAACAAGAUAGCUGUAUGUGGUUUUUUAAAAAAUUUUUGGUAGAAAUUUAUGUCCUUUUAUGAAUAGUAAUUGAAAUUUUGAAACUUAAAGUUUCUAUUCUCACAUUAGGUGAAAUGUGCAUUGUUGGAAAAUAUUCAAAUAAAAAGGCUUAUAAAUCUCUGUAGGGUUAUGAUUAUAAUUUAUAUAAUAAGUGGAAUAUUUGAGUUUAUAAAUCGUACUAGUUUGUAUUGCCUUAAAACAGAAAUUGGAAUGACACAACCUAUGUUCAUGACCUUUUUUCAAAGCUGUUUAUUUUGAAUCAUCUCAUGAAAAUUUCAUGUAAGAUGCUAAUUAUCCUCUCUAUAAAAUUUGCUUUAAUGAAAUUGUAGGAGACCUGAUUUCUAUUUUAAAUGUAAUUUCACCAAAGAUUCCAGAACCAGUGGGUUUUGCCUUUUUUCCUAUUUUGUCUUUUGUGUUUUAAUUUUCAUUCAAAUUAUUAUGUGACUUGGAGAGUUUUAAGGGUGAGUGGGGAAAGGCUUUAAAUUCCACUAGGCUUUUUAAAUUUAACCAUACUUUUUUGGUGUUUUGGUUUAUGGGGGGUUUUGUUUGUUUUGGGAGGUGAUAGCUGAAGGAUUAUUUUGUUUAAUAAGCUAUUUUUAAAAGAAGUGUAGGGAUUCCUUUAUUUAAAAUACUGUGCUAAAGCUUGAGAACACACUAGCACCUAAAUAAAAUCCACAGCAUUCAAAAUAUUUUCCCUUUUAUGUGAUGCUAGGUAAGAGGGAAAUUUGUGGGCAUGUAGGUAUGUGAAUUCCAGAAGAUGUGUAUUGUUAUGUAUAUUAUCCAUAUUUCUCUGCAGAAAUGGAUAUUUCUAAUUUAUUUUCUAUUCCAUCCUAAGGACUAGCAAAGUCUUAUAUUACAACAGGCAAACAAUGGUGGGGGAAGGAGUUGCUACAGCAGCUUAGCUCUUUUUAAAGCUAUGUUUACAUAUUGUGGGGGAAAGGGAACUAGAGAAGGUAAGGUAUCAGUCUUCCUGUAGCAUUGAUUUUCAUUUGUUUGUCCUUCAUACUAUUUUUAAAAUUGCAAAUAAAAGUGCAGUUUUAGGCUUUGUUUUAAUGCCCUCAGGUUGUCUUAGUUGUACAUUUACAAAAUGUAGCCUCAGGUGUUUGUAACACUGCUUUUUUUCUAAUCAGAUUAAUAGGGCUUUUAAUGUUUAUCUAGAGCUAAGGAUGAAAAUUUCUUUCAUAUUCAUAUUUCUUUCAAAAUAGCUUUCAUAUUCUGAUCCCUUGUUUCAUCAUGCUUUGUGUACUGCAUUUUUGCUUGUUUUUUUGUUUUGUGGAUAUAUAUAUAUAUAUUUUUUUUUAAUCUCUGUUUACUUACUAGUAUGUAGUAACUACUCAGAAUGUCACAGAAUACUUCAAUCCAGAAAUACUGGUCAGUUGAUUUGGUUUAUAAAAA